UGGGGAAUAUUGGACAAUGGAGGUAACUCUGAUCCAGCAAUUCUGUGUGCACGACGAAGGUCUUCGGAUUGUAAAGUGCUUUAAGUUGGGAAGAAAAAAAUGACGGUACCAACAGAAUAAGCGACGGCUAAAUACGUGCCAGCAGCCGCGGUAAUACGUAUGUCGCAAGCGUUAUCCGGAAUUAUUGGGCAUAAAGGGCAUCUAGGCGGGGCUCCAAGUCGACGGUGAAAACUAGUGGCUCAACCAUUAGCUUGCCGACGAAACUGGAGUUCUAGAGUAUCGGAAAGGUGGGCGGAACUACAUGAGUAGAGGUGAAAUUCGUAGAUAUAUGUAGGAAUGCCGAUGACGAAGGUAGCUCACUGGACGAAAACUGACGCUGAAGUGCGAAAGCUAGGGGAGCAAACA
rnacentral:rRNA from 1 species